GGAAAUGUAGCUUAGUGGUAGAGUGCUUGUCUAGCAUGCAUGAAGCCCUGGGUUCAAUUCCUCAGUACCA
rnacentral:tRNA from 1 species